GAUGAACGCUGGCGGCGUGCCUAAUACAUGCAAGUCGAGCGAACAGAUGAGGAGCUUGCUCCUCUGACGUUAGCGGCGGACGGGUGAGUAACACGUGGAUAACCUACCUAUAAGACUGGGAUAACUUCGGGAAACCGGAGCUAAUACCGGAUAAUAUAUUGAACCGCAUGGUUCAAUAGUGAAAGACGGUUUUGCUGUCACUUAUAGAUGGAUCCGCGCCGCAUUAGCUAGUUGGUAAGGUAACGGCUUACCAAGGCAACGAUGCGUAGCCGACCUGAGAGGGGGAUCGGCCACACUGGAACUGAGACACGGUCCAGACUCCUACGGGAGGCAGCAGUAGGGAAUCGUCCGCAAUGGGCGAAAGCCUGACGGAGCAACGCCGCGUGAGUGAUGAAGGUCUUCGGAUCGUAAAACUCUGUUAUUAGGGAAGAACAAAUGUGUAAGUAACUAUGCCCGUCUUGACGGUACCUAAUCAGAAAGCCACGGCUAACUACGUG
rnacentral:rRNA from 1 species